GAUCAUGGUCUCAGGAUGAACGCUGGCGGCGUGCUUAACACAUGCAAGUCGAACGGGAAAUACUUUAUUGAAACUUUGGUGGAUUAAUUUAUUUCUAGUGGCGGACGGGUGAGUAACGCGUGGGUAACCUGCCUUAUACUGGGGGAUAACAGCCAGAAAUGACUGCUAAUACCGCAUAAGCGCACAGAACCGCAUGGUUCCGUGUGAAAAACUCCGGUGGUAUAAGAUGGACCCGCGUUGGAUUAGCUAGUUGG
rnacentral:rRNA from 1 species